AUCAUCACAACACAACUCAAAGAGCAGAGAUUAAGAGAGACCCCUCUUCAAAUCCUUUCUCCCAUCAGGCAGCAGAGAGAACUGAACCAAGGUCUCACACAUCCCAGUUGCUUUUCCCUUCCCAUUGGAUAUCUAGUGCCAGCUGCCCGAGUUCACCAUCAUCACUGCUUAGAGCCUCUCCAAGGAGACCUUAGAUCACCUCUGUGUGUGUAAUGCAACAGUUAAUCCAAGAUGGCUGACAGCAGAAAAGAUUCAGGCACAAGGUGCUACCAGUGACACCAGUGGUUGAACCUCUUCACAAUUUCUGAAAGUAAGUAAUUCAAAUUGACUCUUUUUUACUGUCUAAUAUUACCUGUGCUCCUGUCGAGUAGGUGGAUUCUAAUUCUGUGAAUGAUCCAGGAGCCAUGUUUAGAAAUGUAGGACGCCUGGGUUGAGGUGAAGCACACCACUUGCAUCCUGGGAGAGGAGAUGAGGGAUGGUUGGAGGCUCGAGCACUGGUUAGGAACACAUUACUCUCCUUAAUGUCUGGGAAGUGUUAUUUAUGCUCCUGUAAAAGAUGUUCA